UACGUAGGGGGCAAGCGUUGUCCGGAAUCAUUGGGCGUAAAGAGCGUGUAGGCGGCUCGAUAAGUCUGCUGUGAAAGUCCAGGGCUCAACCCUGGAAGGCCGGUGGAAACUGGCGGACUCGAGUCUCGGAGAGGAAGGUGGAAUUCCUGGUGUAGCGGUGAAAUGCGUAGAUAUCAGGAGGAAUACCGGUGGCGAAGGCGGCCUUCUGGACGAUGACUGACGCUGAGACGCGAAAGCGUGGGGAGCGAACAGG
rnacentral:rRNA from 1 species